rnacentral:lncRNA from 1 species
UUUUAUCCAAUUUGAAUAACCUCCAGCCAGUCAUCGCUUUCUUCCCCAACAUGUCACUCAAUCACAUCCUCUGCAAACACCGGUAUUUGUAAGUUCUCUUCUUCUACCGUUUUCUUUUCUGAAUCUACUCCACUUGGACCUCCCUCUUCCAAUCUCCACCUCUGAUUCCUCGGUCCAGCGCUAAAAAAGAACAAUUUAAUUUUAAAACGCCAAACUUCCAUCCCAUUGCGCAGCCACAAGAACAUAACCCGCCACAACGAAUGCGUCGGUUAUCUCCAUCGCCAUCCACUGGCUAUGGCCUAGGGUUUUCUAAUAGCAAAAGUAGACAAAGCAUCGAAUCAGGUAAAACCAACUUCAAUGAUCCUUUUUCAAAAUCGGAAUCCUCGAGUUCUUUUAUCUUUCGUUCAGUUGCCACAAAGGAGGCCGAUAGUGCCAAUGGAUAGAACUCUACUGCAAGAAAUUCAGCUGUAUCCAUGGAUCCUUUUCCAAAAUCGGAAUCCUUGAGUUCUUUUAGCUUUCCAGUUGAAAAGGUAUCAUGUUUUUAUUGUUUUUUUAUUAGGUUCAUCGGAUUUGUCUAUAGUUGUGAUUGUCUUCAUUUUUAGGGAUUUAAUGACUCAAGUGAGAGGGUACCAUUUUUUUACUAUAUUGUUUCCAGUAUCCUGCCUACAAUCUGCAAACGGAUUUUUGUUAUUCCUUCUCUUGGUAACUUUUUUUUGUUCUUUUAUCUCUGUUCCUACAGGGAAUAUGAUCGCUUGCUUCAUAUUGCCAUUUGAAAGAGAGUCUCACUACGCACCCCAACUGCUCGAUGAAAUGCUUGAACCAAGAUGCCUAGAAAAGAUCAGUUUUUUUCUUCUGGAAAUAUGAAAAAAAGGUAAUUGUUUAUGAGUUUAAUGCAUGUAUUCAUUAUGUGUUAAAACAUUUUUUAAUUGGUUUUAAUUUUAUCUAAUUAUAACAUUUAGUAAUCAGUUUUCAUCAUCAACAUUUAUAUGUUGUUUUUUCGUAAAAUUGUUGGUUGUACUCUUCUGUUUAACCAUCUUUGCUCCUCUGUGGGAAACAGGUAAUUUCCAUUUAGAGAGAUUGGGCGUUCCCUCUUAACCAGACUUUUUUUUUUGGUAAAAUUUUUAAUUUUAUCUGAUUACACUUCUGUUUAACAUUUAUAUGUUGUUUUUUUGUAAUUUUUUUUUUGUUAAUUUUUUCUUUUUAACUUUUUGACCAAAUUAUUUUUUUUUUUAGUUUUUACUUAAUUUGUAUCAUAUAUGAUGUUUAUAAAGAAACAUAAGUAAAGUGCUAUUAUUGGUAUUAACUUUGCUUCCUAAACAUAAUAUUAUGACUUAUAUACAGGUGUGACUUAUAAUUUGAGUUGGGGCAGGAUCAUAGCUGGAAAUUUGAAGAUUAAGCUCAAACUUUUCAGUAGGAAAAGAGAAUAGUGAAACUGGAUUGACAGAAGUUUAAAUAUGCUUGAGAGGCAGGGGUAUAACUGGAAAGUUGAAGGUCGGUAGAUGGUUAAAGAGUUUUAGAGGUAGGGGCAUAAUUGGGAAGUUGAAGGUAAGCACAAAACCAUUUAUAUUCUGAAGUAAAAUUUAUAUUGUUGAUUCAUUGGGUAUACUUUUAUUAAUUUGGAUUUUUUUGUUGCAAUUUUUACGAAUUUGUGGUCUUGAGAAAUACUUUUACAUUUUUAAUUGUUUUGUAUCAAGAUUGUUUUUUGAUUUUUUAAUCAUCUUAUUUGAUUCUAUUACAAAUGUAAUUUUUGAUAUUGAUAGGUAUAUCUUUUUUAAAUGGAUACAAAUCUAAGUCUAUUGUUGCUAUGGGUAAAAAAAAGGCAAAAAAAAUCUGACCCGUGUGUUGCAGGGGCAUCUUCCCUAAUGGAUAUUAGUUUUAGGGAUCAAAUCUAUAACUAAACUAAAUCAAAAGACUACUUUUGAUAUUGAAACUUUUUAGGCUUUAAUAAAAAAAAAAGUACAAACCAUAGAAACUAUUUAGUUUUCUCUUUAACCAUUUGAUUCUUUUAGUGAUCAAAACCAAAAUAAAAUCAACCCAAGAAGGAUAGCCGAGAAGAAUAGUCAACAUUGCAAUUGAAAAAUUGAUCGGAUUCAGAAAAAUCAUAAAACCAUAGGCAUGGAUUAACGAGGACCUAAAUUGUUGAUUCUUUGAUUUUAAAAAGUUAAAUAUUACUAAUAUCAUAACAAAGUUUGUAAAUAUCAUUAAUAUCAUAACAAAAUAGAUUAAUAUAAUUAAUACAACAAUAAACAUUCUUCAAAUAAUUUCUAUUGAGAUAAAAAAAAUUUAAGUGAUAUAAUUUUAUCGCUUAUUAUUGUUCCCUUCAUUGUGUAGGCAUGGAUUAAUCAGUAGGCGUCUUCUAAUCGAAUAUUAAUAGGGACAUAGUCGGGAUUUUUGCAACACAGCUUAACAAAGUAUGACAACAAUUUUCCCUUAUUACUUAAUUAGCGUACUUACUUAUUUAUCAUUUUUGUUGUAUUUAUUUUGAAUUUUUAUUUUAAAUUUUUUUAACGUCUAGAGUUUUAUAUAUAAUUUUUUGCUUUAAUCAACAUUUGUAUUACAUAGGUCUCACAACUAGUUAUACUAAUAAAUAAAUAUUCAUGUUGUUAUAUAUCAUUCUCUCAUUCCAUUGGUCACAUGUCAUUUUAUCAUAAAUUUGAGAUGUUUAUUUUUUACUUGUCAUAUACUUCAUUUUUCUUUUUCCAAUAUAUCAUUAAUUAAGUUUCCAUAAAUUAAAUAUGUCAUAAUGACUAUUAAUUUUAAAUUUCAAAUUUCAAAUUUCAAAUUUCAAUUUUAAUUUCAAUUUCUAAUAAAUUGCAGUUUAAACCUGCGUAUUUAAUAGAUUGUUAUAAUAAACUCGUUUAGUAUACGGGUCUGACAAUUAAACACGUAAUUUUAAUUUAUUUAUUUAUCGCGUGUUAGUUUUUUAUUUUUUAAUUGUUUCUCAUAAUUUUCACUUAUUUCAAAUUUCAAAUUCAAAUAAACUUCCUGUUUACUCCUUCGUAUUUAACAUUUUGUUUUAAUCAACAUUAAUAGUAUACGAGCCUCACAAUUACUUAGCUAUUAAACAUAUUGCAGUAUCGUAUCUUAUCUUUCCUCUAUUACUGAGUUAAGAAAUCAAGCAAUUAUUGAUUACAUAAUAACGAAUGUUGCAUUUAACUACUCCCACAUGAAAUAGUUUUUUUAAACAGUUAAAUGAAAUCUAACUGUGGGGCAUGUCGAUCAGUGGGUUUAGGUUGUACAGGUGUGGGCAGACGGGUCACAUGAGUAGGGAUUGCCCCAGGAGUGCAUUGAUUUGUUUUCACUACAACCUGACAAGCCAUAAAAAAUGUCGAUUGUUCGAGCUUGUCAGGAGGGCCGGUGGCAGUGCCUGCAUCAACCACCUUGAGGAUUACCGAUGGCUACCAGGGCAAGGCGAAGACACUUGUCGUGUAGUGCAGGGCUUUCCAGCUGACUACCGAUGAGGCUCGUGCAGCACCGGAUGUGGUUACCGGUAUGUAUUUUUUGUUAUAUCUUAUUUGCUUUCCUUAUUUAUGCUUAUAAUUAUAUCUAGUCCCAUAUAAGGACUUUCUUAGUCAAUGGUGUGACUGCUCAUGUUUUGUUUGAUUCGGGUGCUACUCGAUCCUUUGUAUCUCUUACGCUUAG